rnacentral:rRNA from 1 species
AGCGAACGCUGGCGGCAGGCUUAACACAUGCAAGUCGAGCGGGCACUUUCGGGUGUCAGCGGCGGACGGGUGAGUAACGCGUGGGAACGUGCCCUCUGGUUCGGAAUAACUCAGGGAAACUUGAGCUAAUACCGGAUACGCCCUUUUGGGGAAAGGCUUGCUUCCGGAGGAUCGGCCCGCGUCUGAUUAGCUAGUUGGUGAGGUAACGGCUCACCAAGGCGACGAUCGGUAGGUGGUCUGAGAGGGUGAUCAGCCACACUGGGACAGAGACACGGCCCAUACUCGUACGGGAGGCAGCACGGAGGAAGAUUGGACUAUGGGUGCGAGCCUGAUCCAGCCAGACCGCGGGAAGGACGACGGCCCUAUGGGUUGUAAACUUCUUUUGUAGAAGGGUAACACUAGAUACCUGUAUCUAGCGGACGGGACUAUACGAAUAAGCACCGGCUAACUCCGUG